GACGAACGCUGGCGGCGUGCUUAACACAUGCAAGUCGAACGGAAACGCCCUGCUUUUGUGGGGUGCUCGAGUGGCGAACGGGUGAGUAACACGUGAGUAACCUGCCCUUGACUUUGGGAUAACUUCAGGAAACUGGGGCUAAUACCGGAUAGGAGCUCCUGCUGCAUGGUGGGGGUUGGAAAGUUUCGGCGGUUGGGGAUGGACUCGCGGCUUAUUAGCUUGUUGGUGGGGUAGUGGCUUACCAAGGCUUUGACGGGUAGCCGGCCUGAGAGGGUGACCGGCCACAUUGGGACUGAGAUACGGCCCAGACUCCUACGGGAGGCAGCAGUGGGGAAUAUUGCACAAUGGGCGGAAGCCUGAUGCAGCAACGCCGCGUGCGGGAUGACGGCCUUCGGGUUGUAAACCGCUUUCGCCUGUGACGAAGCGUGAGUGACGGUAAUGGGUAAAGAAGCACCGGCUAACUACGUG
rnacentral:rRNA from 1 species